AGUUUGCAAGCAGAAGCACCUGACUGGGCAGUGGGGAUUCCAUAUGCAGAUAGGGAGAAGGAGCCUGUGAGAGCAGAAGCACCAUGGUGAUUGGGCAGUGGGGAUUCCCUAUGCAGAUAAGGAGGAGGGGCCUGUGAUGGUUAAGGUCAGUUGGAAUGCAGCUGUUACUGGUCAGAAGAUGUUCUGGAUAUAGAAGGAUAGCAGGCAGGGGUCUGCAAAAAGACAGGUCCUGAGGGAGGAAAGAGCCCCUUCCGGAGAAGGAGGAUGCCGUUGUGCUGGCUCUAGGAGGCGCACGCGUGUACACAAUGGAACACUCCUUUCGUCUUCGGUUUCCAGAGGGGAGAGUGUUUGUGGGAACACCUUCCUCCUCAGCCGCCUCUGCCUACCCCAGCGGCAGAGAUGCGCGGCCUGGAGCUGGGACGCCUCUGCGGGCAGAGUCCCCUUCCUCUGCUGAAGAAACAGCUAGAAAGAAAGAAAGAAAGAAAGAAAGAAAGAAAGAAAGAAAGAAAGAAAGAAAGAAAGAAAGAAGAAAAUUAGUUCUUAUAUGCACAGACACACAAAGAUUCCAGUGCAUUUAUCUAUGGAAAUUAGAUUAAGUAUCUAUUGAAAUGCAGGGCUUUAAUUCCCCGCUGGCCAAUCAGAUUGCCAGAGACAUAAAGUUGUUUCCAAGCACAGAGAUCUUUGAACAUGCAUAGAUUACAAAUCCGUAUGUUUCUAUUCUCUUGCAGGCUACAUAGAUAGGGAACAAUUACCAUAAGGGAUGGGUACUAAAAUGGGAGCUGCUGAGUUGAGUGUUUGUCUUGUGAAAUAUAUCUACGUAUGUUCAGGGCAGCCAAAAACCUACAGAAACAAAGGCAGCGAGUUUAGUCCUGCUUUUCCAUUGUAUUCUCCAUGCUUCAAACAGAAGAAAACAAUUCUAUUUCUCAUUUCUCCAUUCCUGCCCCAUCUUUUCCACCACAGAAUUCAAGGCAGUGGCUGACAAGCUCUGCAUGUGUGUCCUUCUUUGAAUGGUGGUGUGCUGCAUGGUAUGUCAGCUUAUAUACAUAUGAUUCUCAGGUAGUCUUCCAUCCAGAGACUGACCUGACCCAGAUCUGCUUAGCUUCAGCAAACAUGCUGUUUCAUAUGCCUUCAGACUACAGCCCAUGUCUUCAUCAGCUGGUCUACCGGUUACAGACAUCCUUUUUGUUCCAUGGGACAAAGUAAAUUGGCUUCAGUCUGGGACACAGGAGGAGGCAAUACCUGCUACUCUCCCAGACACUGAACUGACUAGACCCAUUAGACUGAAAAGAGGCGGCUCCAACUCACCUCGGCCCCCAGACAAUCACUUAAAUGUUGCUGGUAGCACAACUGCUAUCCCAGAUGAUCUGCGCUGCAUGGAACUCUGGAGGCUGGGAAGACGCCGUACCGCUUUACAUGUGAAUGUGGCCUAGGUCCAUGGCAGAAUCCCAACAUUCUCCUUCUCAUUGUCUCAUUCUUGAAUUCUGAGUCCCAUGUUUUAUUAUAUGGUGUAAUGCAAUCAUUUCUUUUCCUGAUUGCAGCCAUUUCUCUGUCUCUGAAACUGGCAUGCUUUCAUUUUUGUGCCAAUCUGUAGGUUCUGGCAUUUUCUCCUCUCUGGCUGCCUGUGACAGUCUUGUGAAUGGAAUCCCUUUAUUAACUCUGCCUCAGAGUCUUACUUCUUGUUCUCUUUCAAUCUCCCCUUCUUGAUUGGUACUCUCUGGUUCUGUCUCAGUCUCCCCUUUUUGACUGAGUCUCUCUAUUAUAUCAUAGUCUUCGAUUACUUGUUCAUUUUGUUGCUGUGGUUGCUGUUUAGCCUUUCCACUUUCCACCUGGACUUAAAAAUCCAGGUCACAGUCAGACAUCACAUUGGCAUUUGACUUUUGCCUCUCAUCAAAAUAUGCAAAACUCUGCUGUUUAACACUCUCUGUGAAAGGAUCAAGUAUUCUGUAGCUUUCGCUAUUCAGUGCAUAACCUAUGAAUAUUCCUCCUUCACUUCUACAAUCUAAUUUUCUUCUUAGUUCUUUAGGAAUAUAUACAUAUGCUUUGCAUCCAAAUACUCUAAUAUGUCUUAACUUAGGUUUUGUCCCAUUCAACAGUUCAAAGGACGCUACUCCUUUAGUUGUAGUCAUUACAGGUUCUCUCCAGUAUGUGUUUCCAGACCUGAGUCAAGAAGCAUACUUCUAGACAUUUAAAUCAAAGUUCUGUCUCUGCCACUUCAUUUUGCUCUGCAGUAUAAAGUAUUGUUCUCUCAUGUUCCUUGUUUUUUUAAGUAUUGCUCAGUAUCUUUUCCAGUAUAUUCCCCACUAUUACCACUGUGCAAAGUCUUAGAUUUUCUUCCACAUGUGUUGCUUUCUCUAGGCAAAUAUUCUUUAGGUUUUACCAACACCUCAUUUUUCUCUUUGAGUAGGUAAAUGUGAGUAUAGUGAGAAACAGGGGUGUGUGGAACCGGUUCAAAUCAAAGUUGGUUCGAUUUGAACUGGCUCCGUUUGACCAGUUCAAGCUUGAAUCAGACUGGCCCCCCAAAAGAGGGUGUCAGUCCGAAUUUGAACCAAACUGGGCCUGGUUUGGAUUAAACCACUUCAACCCAGUUUGACUGGCUUGAUUGCCCCAUUUUUAAAGGGGAAUCCAGUAAGGAUUCCCCUUUACAAUCAAAGGGGGACUGCCUCUCUAAAAAUGGGUUAGGGGGCAGGCGAGAGGGCACCUUACCAGCUUUCGUGGUGGUGGCUGUGGUGGCAGCUCCCUGGCGGUAGUAGGGGUAGCUCUGCAGCAGAAGCCCCUCUUGCUCCUACCCACAUUGCAACCAGUGGGCAUCCUGGUUUUGAUCUCUGUGCAUGCACAGAGGUUGGAAGGGGGCCACUCAUUGGCCUGCGGUGGGGGAGGGAGU